rnacentral:rRNA from 1 species
AGAGUUUGAUCAUGGCUCAGAAUGAACGCUGGCGGCGUGCUUAACACAUGCAAGUCGAACGAGAAAAGUUUCCUUCGGGAAGCGAGUAGAGUGGCGCACGGGUGAGUAACACGUGGGUAAUCUACCCCUCAAUUUGGGAUAACAUUGCGAAAGUGAUGCUAAUACCGAAUAACAUCCAUAAUACUUUGGUAUAGUGGACCAAAGGUGGCCAAUCCUUGGAAGCUACUGUUGGGGGAUGAGCCUGCGUACCAUUAGCUAGUUGGUAGGGUAAUGGCCUACCAAGGCGACGAUGGUUAGCUGGUCUGAGAGGAUGAUCAGCCACACUGGAACUGACACACGGUCCAGACUCCUACGGGAGGCAGCAGUCGAGAGGCUUCGGCAAUGGGGGAAACCCUGACCGAGCGACGCCGCGUGAGGGAUGAAGCCCUUCGGGGUGUAAACCUCUUUUCUGGGGGAAGAAACCCUAUGGGGGGCAAAUAGGGCCUCAUGAUUGACGGUACCCCAGGAAUAAGCUCCGGCUAACUCCGUGCCAGCAGCCGCGGUAAUA